GAAGAGUCGAUCGGACAACUACAAACUACUGACGCCAAGUGAGAGCAGCGCUGAACAGCUGCGUCUCCUCCCGUGCCGCCCGCCGCCCGCCGCCGGCGAGGGCAGGUGUUCGACGAAAUGUGCACCCGGGGGCCAUCCACCAGGGACUGGUCUGAGAUGACCCUGGACGCGCUCACCUCCGUCUUCGCCAAGCUCGGCGCCGUCGAGCUCCUCAUGGGCGCGGGCCUGGUGUGCCGCUCCUGGCUCUACGCCUCCAGGGCGCCAGAGCUGUGGCGGGCCGUGGUGAUGUCGCGCCCGCCUGACACUCCGGAGGGAACAGAGGCCUUCCUUCGCGCCAUAGCCAAGGUGUCGUCUGAGCUGUGGCCGGCCGUGCCGAUAACGGCCAUAGAUGACCCCUGGCACGCCAUGGCCAAGGUGGAUGACUCUCUGUGUGCCAUGGCCAAGGCGGCUGUCGCCCGCUCCGGCGGGCGGCUACAGAAGUUUGUGGCGAGGGAUUUCGGUACUGAUGAGCUCCUGGAAUAGAUAGCGGACAGGUCGCCCUCUCUGAAGAGCCUUGGCCUGAUGCAAUGCCACGACAUCUCCGAGAAAGGAUUCAUGGACGUGAUAGUAAAGUUCCCUCAGCUAGAAGAGUUAGUGCUUAUUGAGUGCCACAACAUUUCUGAUGAUUAGAAGGAGAACCGUAACGUGUAUGAGGCCAUUAGCAGAGCAUGCUCACAGUUAAAGCUCUUUGUGCUGGCCCACCCAGGGUACUUUCUGCAUCCGGACGGCAGCUACGGCUUCCAUGAUGGGGAUGUGCUUGGAAUUGCUACGAUGAAACAGCUGCGGCACCUUAGUCUUGACUGCGUCGACAUCAACAAUGUGGAACUGGUGAGCAUCAUUGAUAGUUGUCCUUACCUCGAGCAUCUCUGCAUGCGCUACUGCUACAACAUCUUCGCCGAUGAGGCACUACGAGCAAAGUGCGCCAGGAUCAAGACUCUAAAGCUUAAACCCAUGUCUGAUGAAACUGCUGACCCAAACCAAGGCCGUCAUUCUGAUCCUAACGACUGUUGCUUUGCUUUUUUUGAUCCACCAAGUGACUGAGUUCGUCAUACUUUCUUUCUUGGACAUUUAACUAGCUAGUCAUCUCCUGUUGGGGUUAGCAUUACUAAAACUUUUAAACUGAUUGCCCACUUACCUAAACAUGAUAAUGAUUUGAAUAGCAAUCUUAUCAUUCUAUACAAAGCUUGCGUAAUAUUAUUUUUCCUUUUGCCGAACUCUUGUAGCCCUUUGCAUGCUUUUCUUUUGAGGCAAUUCAGCAUGUCCUUGUUCAGUUUCAGUUAUGUUUACAUGCCAAUGACAAACUUGUCCUCUUUUUUCCGUACCUAAUAAUUAUAUUCAAGUAUG